rnacentral:rRNA from 1 species
UGAGGAAUAUUGGACAAUGGGCGCAAGCCUGAUCCAGCAAUGCCGCGUGCAGGAUGAAGGCCUUCGGGUUGUAAACUGCUUUUGUACGGAGCGAAAAGGUCUGCCCUAAUACGGUGGGCUCAUGACGGUACCGUAAGAAUAAGCACCGGCUAACUACGUGCCAGCAGCCGCGGUAAUACGUAGGGUGCGAGCGUUAAUCGGAAUUACUGGGCGUAAAGCGUGCGCAGGCGGUUAUAUAAGACAGAUGUGAAAUCCCCGGGCUCAACCUGGGACCUGCAUUUGUGACUGUAUAGCUAGAGUACGGUAGAGGGGAAUGGAAUUCCGCGUGUAGCAGUGAAACGCGUAGAUAUGCGGAGGAACACCGAUGGCGAAGGCAAUCCCCUGGACCUGUACUGACGCUCAUGCACGAAAGCGUGGGGAGCAAACA